rnacentral:rRNA from 1 species
CCUACGGGUGGCAGCAGUGAGGAAUAUUGGUCAAUGGGCGCGAGCCUGAACCAGCCAAGUCGCGUGAGGGAAUACGGUCCUAUGGAUUGUAAACCUCUUUUGUCGGGGAGCAAAAGACGCCACGCGUGGCGUUCCGAGAGUACCCGAAGAAAAAGCCUCGGCUAACUCCGUUCCAGCAGCCGCGGGAAUACGGAGGAUGCGAGCGUUAUCCGGAUUUAUUGGGUUUAAAGGGUGCGCAGGCGGAAGAUCAAGUCAGCGGUAAAAUUGAGAGGCUCAACCUCUUCGAGCCGUUGAAACUGGUUGUCUUGAGUGAGCGAGAAGUAUGCGGAAUGCGUGGUGUAGCGGUGAAAUGCAUAGAUAUCACGCAGAACUCCGAUUGCGAAGGCAGCAUACCGGCGCUCAACUGACGCUCAUGCACGAAAGUGUGGGUAUCGAACAGGAUUAGAUACCCUGGUAGUC